rnacentral:rRNA from 1 species
GUGCCAGCAGCCGCGGUAAGACGAACCGUGCGAACGUUAUUCGGAAUCACUGGGCUUAAAGCGCGUGUAGGCGGGACGGCACGUCGGUCGCUGAAAGCCCCCGGCUCAACCGGGGAACGGGCGCCGAGACGACCGCCCUGGAGGGACGUAGGGGGACCUGGAACUUCCGGUGGAGCGGUGAAAUGCGUUGAGAUCGGAAGGAACGCCCGUGGCGAAAGCGAGGUCCUGGACGUCUGCUGACGCUGAGACGCGAAAGCCAGGGGAGCGAACGGGAUUAGAUACCCCUGUAGUCC